CCAAUAGCGUAUAUUAAAGUUGUUGCAGUUAAAAAGCUCGUAGUUGAAUUUCGGGGUUAGCAGGUUGGUCGUGCCAAUGGUAUGCACUGGCCUUGCUGAUUCCUCCCUCUUGUAGAACCGUAAUGCCAUUAAGUUGGUGUUGCGGGGAAACAGGACUGUUACUUUGAAAAAAUUAGAGUGUUUAAAGCAGGCUAACGCUUGAAUACAUUAGCAUGGAAUAAUGAAAUAGGACGAUCGAUCCUAUUUUGUUGGUUUCUAGGAUUGACGUAAUGAUUAAUAGGGAUAGUUGGGGGCAUUAGUAUUCAAUUGUCAGAGGUGAAAUUCUUGGAUUUAUUGAAGACUAAAUACUGCGAAAGCAUUUGCCAAGGAUGUUUUCAUUAAUCAAGAACGAAAGUUAGGGGAUCGAAGACGAUCAGAUACCGUCGUAGUCUUAACCAUAAACUAUGCCGACUAGGGAUCGGAUGAUGUUAAUUUUUUAAUGACUCAUUCGGCGCCUUACG
rnacentral:rRNA from 1 species